rnacentral:lncRNA from 1 species
AUUCUGUUCCUCAAGGUAAAGCAAAGGAGUCGUUUCCUCCUAUUCUUUUCUAAUAUAAAUUGAAAUAAAUGGUGAAGUUGAUCAAGCAAUGGUUGCUUUUGACAGUGUUUGUGAUCACAGAGAUUCCAAAAUCAAUAUAAGAGGGCGAGAUGGGGGCGAAGCUCUCCAGCAAUGGAAAUUUUAUCCGUAGGAAUUCAAUCACCCAUGGCCAUGGAUCUUCUGCUGCAUUUUAGUUUUUCGUUUUUUUUUUUUCGAUUUCUUGAAACAGCCGCAUACUGUGUAUUCUUUGUUGGUGGGAAUUCCAAUUUUUUUUCUUGAAACAAUCGAUUCGUUGAACUACUUUUAA